CGGUUAAGUUAGAAAGGGCGCACGGUGGAUGCCUUGGCACUAGGAGCCGAUGAAGGACGGGACGAACACCGAUAUGCUUCGGGGAGCUGUAAGCAAGCUUUGAUCCGGAGAUUUCCGAAUGGGGAAACCCACCACUCGUAAUGGAGUGGUAUCCAUAUCUGAAUACAUAGGAUAUGAGAAGGCAGACCCGGGGAACUGAAACAUCUAAGUACCCGGAGGAAGAGAAAGCAAAUGCGAUUCCCUGAGUAGCGGCGAGCGAAACGGGACCAGCCCAAACCAAGAGGCUUGCCUCUUGGGGUUGUAGGACACUCUGUACGGAGUUACAAAGGAACGAGGUAGAUGAAGAGGUCUGGAAAGGCCCGCCAUAGGAGGUAACAGCCCUGUAGUCAAAACUUCGUUCUCUCCUGAGUGGAUCCUGAGUACGGCGGAACACGUGAAAUUCCGUCGGAAUCCGGGAGGACCAUCUCCCAAGGCUAAAUACUCCCUAGUGACCGAUAGUGAACCAGUACCGUGAGGGAAAGGUGAAAAGCACCCCGGAAGGGGAGUGAAAGAGAUCCUGAAACCGUGUGCCUACAAGUAGUCAGAGCCCGUUAACGGGUGAUGGCAUGCCUUUUGUAGAAUGAACCGGCGAGUUACGAUCCCGUGCAAGGUUAAGCAGAAGAUGCGGAGCCGCAGCGAAAGCGAGUCUGAAUAGGGCGAAUUGAGUACGUGGUCGUAGACCCGAAACCAGGUGAUCUACCCAUGUCCAGGGUGAAGUUCAGGUAACACUGAAUGGAGGCCCGAACCCACGCACGUUGAAAAGUGCGGGGAUGAGGUGUGGGUAGGGGUGAAAUGCCAAUCGAACCUGGAGAUAGCUGGUUCUCUCCGAAAUAGCUUUAGGGCUAGCCUCAAGGUAAGAGUCUCGGAGGUAGAGCACUGAUUGGACUAGGGGCCCCUACCGGGUUACCGAAUUCAGUCAAACUCCGAAUGCCGAUGACUUAUCCUUGGGAGUCAGACUGCGAGUGAUAAGAUCCGUAGUCGAAAGGGAAACAGCCCAGACCGCCAGCUAAGGUCCCAAAGUAUACGUUAAGUGGAAAAGGAUGUGGAGUUGCUUAGACAACCAGGAUGUUGGCUUAGAAGCAGCCACCAUUUAAAGAGUGCGUAAUAGCUCACUGGUCGAGUGACUCUGCGCCGAAAAUGUACCGGGGCUAAACGUAUCACCGAAGCUGCGGACUGUUCUUCGAACAGUGGUAGGAGAGCGUUCUAAGGGCUGUGAAGCAAGACCGGAAGGACUUGUGGAGCGCUUAGAAGUGAGAAUGCCGGUAUGAGUAGCGAAAGAGGGGUGAGAAUCCCCUCCACCGAAUGCCUAAGGUUUCCUGAGGAAGGCUCGUCCGCUCAGGGUUAGUCGGGACCUAAGCCGAGGCCGAAAGGCGUAGGCGAUGGAUAACAGGUUGAUAUUCCUGUACCACCUCCUCACCAUUUGAGCAAUGGGGGGACGCAGGAGGAUAGGGUAAGCGCGGUAUUGGAUAUCCGCGUCCAAGCAGUUAGGCUGGGAAAUAGGCAAAUCCGUUUCCCGUGAAGGCUGAGCUGUGAUGGCGAGCGAAUUAUAGUAGCGAAGUUCCUGAUUCCACACUGCCAAGAAAAGCCUCUAGCGAGGUGAGAGGUGCCCGUACCGCAAACCGACACAGGUAGGCGAGGAGAGAAUCCUAAGGUGAUCGAGAGAACUCUCGUUAAGGAACUCGGCAAAAUGACCCCGUAACUUCGGGAGAAGGGGUGCUCUGUUAGGGUGCAAGCCCGAGAGAGCCGCAGUGAAUAGGCCCAGGCGACUGUUUAGCAAAAACACAGGUCUCUGCGAAGCCGUAAGGCGAAGUAUAGGGGCUGACGCCUGCCCGGUGCUGGAAGGUUAAGAGGAGCGCUUAGCGUAAGCGAAGGUGCGAAUUGAAGCCCCAGUAAACGGCGGCCGUAACUAUAACGGUCCUAAGGUAGCGAAAUUCCUUGUCGGGUAAGUUCCGACCCGCACGAAAGGCGCAACGAUCUGGGCACUGUCUCAACGAGAGACUCGGUGAAAUUAUAGUACCUGUGAAGAUGCAGGUUACCCGCGACAGGACGGAAAGACCCCGUGGAGCUUUACUGCAGCCUGAUAUUGAAUGUUGGUACAGCUUGUACAGGAUAGGUAGGAGCCUUGGAAACCGGAGCGCCAGCUUCGGUGGAGGCAUCGGUGGGAUACUACCCUGGCUGUAUUGACCUUCUAACCCGCCGCCCUUAUCGGGCGGGGAGACAGUGUCAGGUGGGCAGUUUGACUGGGGCGGUCGCCUCCUAAAAGGUAACGGAGGCGCCCAAAGGUUCCCUCAGAAUGGUUGGAAAUCAUUCGCAGAGUGUAAAGGCACAAGGGAGCUUGACUGCGAGACCUACAAGUCGAGCAGGGACGAAAGUCGGGCUUAGUGAUCCGGUGGUUCCGCAUGGAAGGGCCAUCGCUCAACGGAUAAAAGCUACCCCGGGGAUAACAGGCUUAUCUCCCCCAAGAGUCCACAUCGACGGGGAGGUUUGGCACCUCGAUGUCGGCUCAUCGCAUCCUGGGGCUGUAGUCGGUCCCAAGGGUUGGGCUGUUCGCCCAUUAAAGCGGUACGCGAGCUGGGUUCAGAACGUCGUGAGACAGUUCGGUCCCUAUCCGUCGCGGGCGCAGGAAAUUUGAGAGGAGCUGUCCUUAGUACGAGAGGACCGGGAUGGACGCACCGCUGGUGUACCAGUUGUUCUGCCAAGGGCAUCGCUGGGUAGCUAUGUGCGGACGGGAUAAGUGCUGAAAGCAUCUAAGCAUGAAGCCCCCCUCAAGAUGAGAUUUCCCAUUCCGCAAGGAAGUAAGAUCCCUGAAAGAUGAUCAGGUUGAUAGGUCUGAGGUGGAAGUGUGGCGACACAUGGAGCUGACAGAUACUAAUCGAUCGAGGACUUAACCAAUUU
rnacentral:rRNA from 1 species